GUGCCAGCAGCCGCGGUAAUACGUAGGGCGCAAGCGUUGUCCGGAAUUAUUGGGCGUAAAGAGCUCGUAGGCGGUUUGUCGCGUCUGCUGUGAAAGCCCGGGGCUUAACCCCGGGUGUGCAGUGGGUACGGGCAGACUAGAGUGCAGUAGGGGAGACUGGAAUUCCUGGUGUAGCGGUGGAAUGCGCAGAUAUCAGGAGGAACACCGAUGGCGAAGGCAGGUCUCUGGGCUGGUACUGACGCUGAGGAGCGAAAGCAUGGGGAGCGAACAGGAUUAGAUACCCUGGUAGUCC
rnacentral:rRNA from 1 species